AACGAACGCUGGCGGCAGGCUUAACACAUGCAAGUUGAACGGGAUUUGGUUGGUGCUUGCACCAACUGAUGAGAGUAGCGCACGGGUGAGUAACACGUGGGAACAUACCAUGAAGUGGGGGACAACAGUUGGAAACGACUGCUAAUACCGCAUAAUCCCUGAGGGGGAAAGAUUUAUCGCUUUAUGAAUGGCCCGCGGAAGAUUAGGUAGUUGGUAGGGUAAAGGCCUACCAAGCCGACGAUCUAUAGCUGGUUUGAGAGGAUGAUCAGCCACACUGGAACUGAGACACGGUCCAGACUCCUACGGGAGGCAGCAGUGAGGAAUAUUGGGCAAUGGGGGCAACCCUGACCCAGCCAUGUCGCGUGAGUGAAGAAGGUUUUCGGAUUGUAAAGCUCUUUCGGAUGUGAAGAUAAUGACGGUAGCAUCUAAAGAAGCCCCGGCAAACUUCGUG
rnacentral:rRNA from 1 species